GGUCUUCUGGUGAAUUAUUAUCACAACGAAAUUUCAAUUCGUAGUAAAUUAAGACUAA
rnacentral:tRNA from 1 species